CCCGAUAUUGUAUAAAAAAACUUAACUAAUAAAUAUUUUAAUAUUUGAUAGAUAAAUUGGAAAGCAUAUAAUAAGAAUAUUUUACUUUGUUUGAUUAUUGUAUUAGAAAGUAAAACAUAAAUAUUAUCUUAUAAAAUAUCAAUAGCUUGAUAAAUUAAACUUUGAAAAUAUUUGAACAUACAUCAUCACCUUUAGCUAGACCUAUCAAAUGGCCAAACUUUCAUCUAUAUUUGUUAGAUCCAAGUGCGAGAUGUCGAUGUCACAAUAUGUUGCCAGAGAAACUCGAACAUUAUUCAUCAAUAAUUAAGUUAAGAAAGAAACUUCUAAAAUAUUUUUAUAAAUUUUAGAAAUAUUUUAAAAUCAUUUAUAGAUCUUAAAAUCGAUUUAAAAUACUUUAAGUUUGGUUUUUAGGUGAUCAAAAAUGUUCGGGACCGAUUAAGGAUCCCCAAGGGUGAAAAUAGCACAAAAUAGGGGAAAGAUCUUAUUCUGCUUCACUUUUAUCAGUUUGUACCGAUAUAAGUACAUGUUAUUGUAGCAUUGGAUAUACUAUUUGACUUAUACCAAUACAAGUGACCCUUUAUACCUAUACAAGUUUGUUUAGACCCAAAACUCACUUAAUUUGACCAAAAACAUUAACAUAUCAAAACCAAGAUUUUUAGUACUUAAAAAUCAAGUUUCAAUUACUAUUUACACUCAUACAAACUCAACUAAACAUCAUGGACUUAACCAUGUUCAUUCGUUACCAAACUUAAACAUCAAGUUAACAUAGUUGACAAACAAGAAACUAAUCAUUUACAUACAUAACAUACUUAAUAUUUAGACUUUUAAUUUCAUCAUGCUUAACCAACAAUCUCUUCAAUUAAACAUAUCAUACAUGAUUCUCUAAUUGUCUAGACCUAGGUACAUGUCGUUGACAACUCUUGAAAAGAGUUAUAUUUUAAGUCUCUAAACUUGGUUAAUUGUUUGUAUUUAGGUAGAUGUAUUUGUGUUUUAGGAUAUUAAAUUAGUAUUUUUAGAACAUUGCAUCAUAAAGCUUGGAUUGUGCUUAAAUGUUAUUAUGUUACUUUUACUUGUGGGUGGAAAGGAUUUGUUUGUGUUUGAAUGGCAGGUGUAGAAUGAGGAAAAGAAAUGAAGGAGUGAAGUUUUGUUAUGGCAAAAUGUUGAACGGAUUGUCAACAUUAAUGCCAUGGAAAUUUCAGGAAAACAUGGAGUUAGCAUUCAAUUCGUGCCACUCUCAGCCAGCUGUACUUAUACUAGAAAGAUCUACCUAAAAAAGAGGGAGGAAAAACUGAAUGCUGAAAGGGGGAUCUAGCCUAUAAAAAGUGAGGAAAAAUGAGAGAGAAAAUGGGGGAGAAGCCUUUCUCAGAGGAAAGAUCUUAAGGUGGAAAUAAAGGGUAAUAGUAGAGUCUGAGCAGCAAAGCAGAAAAAGAGGGAGAAAAAAAAGGCAGUCUGUCUAGUCUUUGCAAGACAUUGCUUCACUAGAGUUGAGGGUUGGGUCGGGGUAAGCUUCCUGAAGUUCUUCAUUUAUUUUCUUAAAAUUACAUCUUUGCGAAAUUAAUUAUUAAAGAUGCUGAAUGAUGUUUUGAAUUUUGAUUUGAUUAACCAACCCAUGAGUUAAAUCUCAUUGGGUUGGGAUUACUGGAUAAUACUUGAAUUUGCCAUUAAUGUUGAAGCUUGGAUUUGAUCUAUUUUAAUGUUUCAUUCAAUUUGUUCUUUCGAAUUGCAUGCAUGCAAUCUCUAGACAUAGAUGAAUGCACACUAUGCUUAUAAACAUAAUCUAAUUCUGAAAAGGUUAGGUUAGUUAGACCACAAUUGAUUGAUACGAGUGGAUGUUCGAUAGAAUGCUUAUAAAAGUCUAUAGACAUAGAGCAACGUUCGUGCAAAGUGAUGAGUAAUCAGUAUCGGGAUUCUCAUAUGAGGUCUAUAGACAUAUAUUUCCUUAGGUGAGUUAUCCUAAGGUAUUGCCCUUGAAAGAAGCAGACCAUUUCAAAUCCAUUCUAAGUAGUAAGUUGAUUAAGAAUUUGUGAAGGCAUUAUUGGUUUAUAAGGGUAGAUUCCUAGUAAUCCCAACCUUCCCAAUCAACAACAUAAACUUUCUUACUUUUGUCUUAGUAUUUUUGCCAUAGCAUAUUUUUAAAUAUUUUUUGUUUACAUAUUGCACACAUCAUCAUUAUUUUGAUUACCAUUGCAUUUCUGUCAUUGUUUUGCCUUAACAUAAUUCACAUACUUUAUAACAAAAACUUAACCAAAUUAGUCUUAUCCGAUCCAUGUGGAGAUGAUAUUGAAAUAUAAUUAUAUUACUUGAUUCGACGUGUAUACUUGCAUAUUUUGCAUACUAUAUUCACACACGAUAGUCGUUACCAUAAAAACUUUAGAAACACUAUAAGGACCUUAAUGAGCUGAGUUCUAAUACAUUUGGAUGCCUUUGAACUAAACAAUCAUGAUCUAACUUUGUCAAUAUUUGCAUACAGAAUAAACAUGCAUCCUGAGUAUUAGAUGCUUAGCGGUGUUAACACAAUUUGAACUCAAAGCAAUAGAAAUAUUAACUAUUCAAGCAUACAAUAGAUCACAUCUUUAAUUAACAAGCUAAAGUCAAUAUUUCACAUGUCAUUCAAAACAAUUUUGUCAUGUUAAGUUGGGCCAUAUUUCUAAUGUUUCGAUUGAUUUUAUAUGCAUGAAAUUAAUGACAUUUCUCCUUUCAUUUCAUAACAUCUCAUAUGUGAACAACUAUACAAAAAUAAACAUAUACGUUUUUGAAUCACACGAAUAAUCAUGUUAUCAAAUCUUUCUCAUUGUCUUUUGUAGUUCAUAUUGAACGUAUAGUCCUUUGUUUCUGUGGGAUAAUGCAUUUUAUUUUAACCAAAAAAUUAUUCUGGAUUUUCUUCUCCUAGUUAAACUCUGUUUUUAGUUUCCCACUUGAACUCUGAUUAACCUAGAGUUAUUGUAGUCAUAUAUGCUACAACUUUCAGCCUUUAAAUAAGCCUUAGUUACUCUAGGUUUUACACAACAACAAAAAUAUUUAGAUUGAGCAAAUUUUGUUUUUCUCUUUCGAAGGUUUUUCUUGUGAGGCUUCGGGUUUUCUUUUAAUUCUCUCUAUCUUUUGUACUCUUUUUUUAUUAUUGUGAAAACUCAUUUUGUCCUUUCUUUUUUAUCCUCUUGUGAGCAGUUUUUUCACGUAAAAUUUACUUGUUCAAUUUUUUCGGUUCUUAUUUUCUUCACUUUGUUUGUUGUUGAAUCGAAUUUAUCCCCUACAAAUUUCUAUUAGAUCUAGUUUGAUUUCUGUAGUCAACCUGUUCAGAGAUAGCAGCAUCAAGGUUAAAUAUUGAGAAGUUUAACGGAAUUGGAGAUUUUAAUUUGUGACAAGUUCGGAUGACGACAAUACUGGUUCAGAACAGUCUAAAAAAGGUCGUUGAGGGAAUAAGCCCGUAGAUAUGGAUCAGUCAGAAUGGAAAGAGCUCGAUGAAAAGGCUCUAUCCAUUAUUCAAUUAUACCUCAUGAAUAAUGUGUUAUAGGAGGUUUUGAAGGAGAAAACAGUGUCUACAUUAUGAAAGAAACUAUAAGCCUUAUAUAUGAUGAAAUCUCUUACUAACAGGUUAAUAUUAAAAUAACAUCUCUACACAUUCAAAAUGGCCAAAGGUGAGUCCAUCAGAACUCAUAUUAAUGAGUUUGUUGCCCUUUUUAAUGACUUAACUAGUCUCAAAGUAGAGACUAGUGACGAGGAUCAAGAUAUGUUAUUGUUAUGCUCUUUGCCCUCUUCUUAUAAAACUUUUAGGGAAACUCUAAUUUAUGGGAGAGAUCACCUCUCGUUCGAGGAUGUGAAGGGGAAUCUUCUGAGUAAUGAUAAACUUGACAAUGAGUUUGGCCCAAACAAAAAAUCAAAUGGGCAAGCCUCAAUUCUAGUUGCAAGAGGCAGACAACAACCAGAAAGACUGAUUGAAACAUGUCUAAAGCAAGGUUCAAAUUCAUAAAUCAUGACAAAUAUCGUGACUAUUGUAAAAAUGUGGGUCAUGUUAAGGAAAAAUGUUGGAAACUUCAAAAUAAAAUCAAAAGGGACGCCAAAAACAACGAGAAAGAUAAGCAGAAAGCCAAAGUUACUGAUGCUAGUGUAGUCGAGGACAGAGGUGAUGAUUUCUUGUUGGUCUCGAUGAGUGAAAGCUCUCAUCUUACUUCUGAAUGGAUCUUAGAUUUAAGGUGCUCGUAUCACAUGUAUCCCAAAAGGGAUUGGUUCUCCACGUAUAGUUGGAACGAUGGAAAUGUGCAAGUGUAUACAAUUGCAACAAGUAAUAACAUGACAAGUAAAUGUCGAGUUAUCGUAUCCACAGGGACUAUGAAAAGAAUUAUUUAUGAAUGUUAUUUAAAACUUUUUGGUGAAGAAAAAUAUUUUGUUUGAAGAGGGUGAUUAAAAACUAAGAUUUUAAACUAAGUAAACUAAAUAAAUAAAUCUCAAAUGCACAAUUUCAAAAUACGAUUUUAAUCAAGAUGACAUAGUUGUGUUAGAUUAAUUACAUUUCAUAACUUAGAAUUACUAGAUGUUUAUAUUGUUACGAAUAAAUUCACCACAACUCGGUAAUUUGCUAACUUAUAAACAUACUCACCUACCAAAAUCUAUUUAUUUCUUGACUAUAUCCUUAUGUCAAUUCAAACAAUUAACUCGAUUUAAUAAGCACAUAAAAGACUACGUGAGGUAACAAAGUAUCCUUACCUUGAAACAGUUUAAUCACAAUAAUCUUACAAGUUAUGCAAGGUAAAUGUAUCGUCAGAUACUGUUGCUAAUUUAAACCUCAACUACCUUAGAUGAUUAAACAUGCGCAAAUUAAGUACUAUGUCCAUUAAUUACAAUUUCAAUCCGUUUAAAUAAUUAAUUUAUUAGUUACUUAACAAUUGUAAUGCAAUAAUAACUUAGUCAUGAUUUUACUUAAUCAAGCAUCUUAUUGAGGCCUAUAAUAACGUAAACACAAUUUUAACAAUUUAAGAAGAUGAAAUGUAAUCAACCUAACACGAAUUAGAUUCAAGCUAAAUUGAUUAAGUUAACCAUUCCAACAUAAAUAUCCAUAGAUAUGUUCAUCAUAACAACAAAAAAAAUUAAAGAGAUAGGGAACAAGAAUCAAAUUCGGUGUUUUUUCGUGGCUUGACUAGUUUGCUCCGUUCUUCCUUCUCCGUUGUCCUUGUCGAUCAAGGCUGCUAUGAACACUUAAUUGCUGCUCCAAAUGGCUGAUGAAUGCCCCUUUUCCAAGAGGAGAAAUCAGCAAGAGAGCAAAAGAAUUUGAAAUGGAAAAGAAGAGAGAAAGUAGAGAGAAGAGAGAAGAUGUGAAUGCUUGAGGUGUGUUGAAUGAUCAGCCAAGGGGGUUUUUAUAGCUGAAGAUGGCUACUAAAAUUAGCUAAAAAUAGUAGCCAAAGAGCCAUCCCUUGGCCAGCCACACAUGUGGCAAGGUUGAUGGUUUCAACUUUGCUAAAUUUGGCUUGGGGUAUAUCUACAAAGCCACCAAUUGUGGAGGGGUUUGAAUGCAACUUGAACAAGUCUUCAAGGGCCUCUUUGCAAGCUUAAAUAAUCAGUUAAUAAGCUGAUUUGGGUCAGCUCUUGGGACGGUUUUUGGGCAGUCCAUUUCUUGGUCAGUUCAGUUCACUCGGUUCAGUUCAACUGGAUCACUUUUUCAUAAUUAAUUAAUAAUAAUUUAUUAACCCAAAUUAAAUUGGAUAUAAAUUAAAAUUAAUUAUAUUAUAAAUUAAUAAAUAUAAUUUUGGACCGUCUUAGACUGAAAUUUAGUUCACCUCGAUACUUCAAAUUGUUUCUCGGUUUUGUACUUCUAGCAGUGUCUGCCGAGCCAUUUUUCGCCCUUUGUGCAAAUCUGUCGAAAAUAAUCAAAAUUCAUCAAAAUUAAUUAUAAAAUUAACUAAAAUUCAACAUGUUCAUAUUUUAAGUUCACUUUAAUUAUUUUAUAAAAUUAAUUAUUUUUUGAUAAGAAUUUUAUUGAAACUGUAUGAUUUUAAGUUAAAAAAGGUAUGUAAAAAUAUGCAAAUUUCUAUGUUUCCAAUAGUUCAGUUGAAGGUGGAUUUGUGUUGAUGGGGAAUAACUCUCUAUGUAAAAUAUCUGGAAUUAGAACAAUACAAAUUAGGAUGCAUGAUGGAAUUAUUUGGACACUGCUAGAUGUCAGGUAUGUUCCUGAUUUAAAGAAAAAUCUUAUCUUAUUGGGAAUUUGGAUUCUAAGGGUUGCAGGAUAGCCAUUGAGUCAAAUGACUUAAAAGUUUCUCAUGGGGUUUUUGUUAUGAUGAGAGGACAGAAAAAUGGCAGCCUAUACAUUCUACAAGGUUCAACGAUUGCUGGUGCAGCUAGGAUUAUUGAAGAAAAGCUGAAAUUGCCACCAUGUCGCAACGAGAAUCAACCUGACGUCGCAAUGUCACAAUGUGACUCUUUCUCUAUCAAUUUUGAUUCAACCAAACUUUGGCACAUGCGACUAGGUCAUAUUAGUGAGAAAUGUAAGACAAUCUUGUGCAAUAGAGGUUUUCUUUAAGACACUGGAGUUGGUAAGUUAGGUUUCUACGAGCAUUACAUUUUUAGAAAAAAAAACUUGAGUCAAUUUCGAUUCAAUAAUGCACAAAACAAAAGGGACUCUAGAUUACAUUCAUUUAGAUUUAUAAGCUCCAUCUUCUAACAUCUCAAAAUGAGGUAAUAAAUAUUUAUUAAAUUUUAUUGAUGAUCACUCCAUAAAAGUUUGGGUUUAUUUCUUGAAAUAAAAAAGUGAAGUCUUCGGAAUUUUCUAAUAGUGGAAGACAAUGUUAGAAAAACAAACCGAAAAAUCCAUGAAACGGUUGAGAAUGAAUAAUAGUCUUGAGUUCUGUUCAUCAAAGUUUAGUGAUUUCUACAAAUGUGAAGGAAUUGAAAGAUAUCUAGCCGUUGUUGGAACUCCAUAGUAGAAUGGAAUUGUAGCUCGAUGCAUGCUUUCUAAUGCAUGCUUAGGGAAGGAAUUUUGGGCUGAAGCCAUAAACCUGACAAUUUAUUUGGUAAAUUGAUCUCCCCGUCAAGCAUUGAACAGUAAAGUUUAAGGGGAGAUAUGGCUAGGUAAUCCUUCCAAUUAUUGUAACCUUAGAAUUUUCUGUUGUCCUGCUUAUGCUAAAGUUAGCUAGGGAAAGCUCAAACCAUAGGCUUUUAAAUGCAUCUUUCUAGGAUACUCUACCGGUAGAAAAUGUGUUAAGUUGUGGUGUUUAAAAUAUGAAAAAAUAAUUGUUAGCAGAGAUGUUAAGUUUGAUGAAUCUGCCAUGUUUCGAUCAAAAAAUGGGACUUUUACUUUUAAAUACACAACAAAUCAGAGUGUGUCGAGCAAGGUAGAGUCAAAUGUCGAAAUAGGGGAUGACAUCUUAAUGAGAAAAUGUCUAAUGUCAUAAUGUCAUGAUGAACAAAGGUCUCGUUCUGACGAAGAGUCAUACGACGUUACUACGACAUGACAAAAUUUUUUAUUCUUGCAAGUUUGAAGUUGUUUUAGAUAUGUUUGGGGCUUCAUCUAACCUUCAAAUACCUUCAACAUCUCAGUUAACUAAGUAUAAGUUGACUUGUGACAGGAAAAGGCAAGAAAUCCGGCCACCAUAGAAAUAUUGUAAAGGAAACCUACUAGCUUAUGCUCUAAGUGUUGCCGAGAGCAUUGAUUCAACUGAUCCUUCGUGUUAUUAUGAGGUAGUUAAAGCCUCUGAUUCUAGCAAAUGAUUCGUUGUAAUGGAAAAAGAGAUGGAAUCUCUUCAAAAGAACGAGACUUGGAGGCUCGUUAAACCACCGAUUGGUAAAAGAAUCAUUGGUUGCAAAUGGGUGGUUAAAGAGAUGGAAGGUUUGAGUCGUAACGACACUAGGUACAAGGCAAGACUGGUUGCAAAAGGCUACAGUCAAGUGGAGAGAGUUGAUUUUCUUGAUGUUUUCUCUCCCAUAGUGAAACAUACAUCCAUUCGGGCACUUUUAUCCCUUGUUGCAUCAAAUAAUCUUGAGUUAGAGCAGUUAGAUGUAAAGACUGCUUUCCUUCACGGUGAUCUUGAGUAGGACAUUUAAAUACAACAAUCGGAAGACUUCAAAUUUGAAGUUAAAGAAGAUCAUGUUUGUCUCUUAUAAAAGUAUUUGUUCGGUUUGAAACAAUCUCCUCGGCAGUGGUAUAAAAUGUUUUGACUCCUUCAUGUUGAAUAUUUUUUUUCUCGAAAUAAGUAUGAUAGUUGUGUUUAUCUACAAUGUCUUGAUGAUGGUUCUUUUAUAUAUUUGCUACUUUAUGUUAAUGAUAUGUUAAUUGCGACUAAGAAUUCAUCUAAAAUUGAUUGUCUUAAAACCAUGCUUAAUUCUAAGUUUGAGAUGAAGGAUUUAGGUACAGUAAAGAAAAUUUUGGGAUGGAAAUUUUGAGAGGUAGACAUUCCAGGAAAUUGUUUUUAUCACAACAAAUGUACAUCAAGAAGUUUGAUAAACCGUAAUUUAUAAAUAUUUCUAUCCCAUGCUUAGCACAUUUUAUGGAUUUUUUUUCCUUAGAUUUGGUGAAUUCGAUGCUCUUAAUGCCUUAAAUUCAUGUUUUAUACUUAGGUGAGCAUAGGAGAGUGAAAGAAACGAGAAACGAGCCAAAAACGGAGAAAAUGGGCCAACGUACGAGAUCAAAACGGCCUGAACUUCCUCACACGGACAGACCACACGGCCGUGUCAAUUUAGUAGAAUCGAAGCACGACUCACAUGGGUAGACCACACACCCGUGCCUAUUUAACAUGCCUGACCACAUCCUAAAGUAAUCGCACACGGGCGUGUCCC
rnacentral:lncRNA from 1 species